rnacentral:rRNA from 1 species
UACGGAGGGUGCAAGCGUUAUCCGGAUUUACUGGGUUUAAAGGGUGCGUAGGUGGGUCUGUAAGUCAGUGGUGAAAUCUCCGAGCUUAACUCGGAAACUACCAUUGAUACUAUAGGUCUUGAAUUAUCUGGAGGUAAGCGGAAUAUGUCAUGUAGCGGUGAAAUGCUUAGAUAUGACAUAGAACACCAAUUGCGAAGGCAGCUUACUACGGAUUGAUUGACACUGAGGCACGAAAGCGUGGGGAUCAAACAGG